rnacentral:tRNA from 1 species
GGGGAUUUAGCUCAGCGGCAUAAGCACCUGCCUUGCAAGCAGGGGGUCAUGAGUUCAAUCCCUG